rnacentral:rRNA from 1 species
UACAUGGGGGGCAAACGUUGCUCGGAAUUAUUGGGCGUAAAGCGCGCGUAGGCGGUUACUUAAGUCGGAUGUGAAAGCCCUCGGCUUAACUGAGGAAGUGCACCCGAAACUGAGUAGCUGGAGUACGAAAGAGGGUCGCGGAAUUCCCGGUGUAGAGGUGAAAUUCGUAGAUAUCGAGAGGAACAUCGGUGGCGAAGGCGGCCUUCUGGACGGUGACUGACGCUGAGACGCGAAAGCGUGGGGAGCAAACAGG